GGACCACCGUCCUGAGCACCAAGGCCAGCCUGUAGCUGUCAGCCAGCCGGGCAGCCCUGGGCCCAGGGUAGCCGGGCCCCAGCAUCCCAGGAGGGGACAGGACGCGCCCCGUGCUGCCUCGAGUGACCCUGGGCCUUCCGCCCGCACCUUCCCCUGGGUGUCUGGACACUGGGAGAAGAGUCCUGGCGAGGCGAGAAUGAGGCCCCAGGAAGAGUGAAGAUGGGAGGGGAGGAAUGAGGAGGUCCGGUGCGCCCGCCCCGACUGUGCUCUGUAGCAUUUCCCAGGCAGAUAAAGCGCCGAGGCCUCGGUCAGCACCAGGCGCCUGCUCACUGCGGGGUGGGGUGGGGGUGCCUCCACCCUGCUGUUACUUCGAGACUCACACAGAACCUGGCCUGGAUUUCUGGCCCCUCCUCAGAGCCUCACCUGAAUCCUGUGCUGCACUCUUCUCAUCCCUCCCCUCCCCCAAGACAGCUGGUGGCUCACCUGCUUACCGUCACCAGCACACCGGCCUGUGUCCUCCAUCCUCCCAGGUUCCUGUCACACGGGGUGAAAUCAGGCUUCCCUCUCACCGGCUCCAGAAUGCC
rnacentral:lncRNA from 1 species